ACUUGCACCAGUGCCCAGAGAGGGGGUGCAGGCUGAGGAGCUGCCCAGAGCACCGCUCACACUCCCAGAGUACCUGAAGUCGGCAUUUCAAUGACAGGGCACCUUCAGCCUGCGGAAGCUAUGGGCCUUCACGGGGCCUGGCUUCCUCAUGAGCAUUGCUUUCCUGGACCCAGGAAACAUCGAGUCAGAUCUUCAGACUGGCGCCGUGGCGGGAUUCAAAAGAUGGGGGUCUCACUAUGUUGCUCAGGCUGCUCUUGAACUCCUGGACUCAAGCAAUCCUCCCACCUUAGCCUUUUAAAGUGCUGGGAUUACAGGCUUCUCUGGGUGCUGCUCUGGGCCACGGUGUUGGGCUUGCUCUGCCAGCGACUGGCUGCACGUCUGGGCGUGGUGACAGGCAAGGACUUGGGCGAGGUCUGCCAUCUCUACUACCCUAAGGUGCCCCGCACCGUCCUCUGGCUGACCAUCGAGCUAGCCAUUGUGGGCUCCGACAUGCAGGAAGUCAUCGGCACGGCCAUUGCAUUCAAUCUGCUCUCAGCUGGACGGUACCACCCCAGUGUACCCCAACUCUUCAGG
rnacentral:sRNA from 1 species